UUGUAUUGGAUGAUAGAAAUUUAAACCCUUUUUAAAGUAUAAUUGGAGGGCAAGUCUGGUGCCAGCAGCCGCGGUAAUUCCAGCUCCAAUAGCGUAUAUUAAAAUUGUUGCAGUUAAAAAGCUCGUAGUUGAAGUUCUGCUAAAAGUAACCGGUCUGCUUUUAAUAAAGGUGGUAUCUUGGUGUGUAUUUAGCAAUGAUGUCCUUUGAAGUGUUUUUUACUUUAUUGUAAUAAAGCAUAUUCAGGACUUUUACUUUGAGAAAAUUAGAGUGUUUCUAGCAGGCUAACGCUUUGAAUACUGCAGCAUGGAAUAAUAAGAUAGGAUUUUAGUUCUACAUUAUUGGUUUUAAGAGCUAAAUUAAUGAUUGAUAGGGACAGUUGGGGGCAUUUGUAUUUAACUGUCAGAGGUGAAAUUCUUAGAAUUUGUUAAAGACAAACUACUGCGAAAGCAUUUGCCAAAGAUGUUUUCAUUAAUCAAGAACGAAAGUUAGGGGAUCGAAGACGAUCAGAUACCGUCGUAGUCUUAACUAUAAACUAUGCCGA
rnacentral:rRNA from 1 species